rnacentral:rRNA from 1 species
UACGUAGGGUGCGAGCGUUAAUCGGAAUUACUGGGCGUAAAGCGUGCGCAGGCGGUUGUUAAGACAGAUGUGAAAUCCCCGGGCUUAACCUGGGAACUGCAUUUGUGACUGGCAAGCUAGAGUAUGGCAGAGGGGGGUAGAAUUCCACGUGAUAGCAGUGAAAUGCGUGAGAGAUGUGGAGGAAUACCGAUGGCGAAGGCAGCCCCUGGGCCAAUACUGACGC